UACGGAGGGUGCGAGCGUUGUUCGGAAUCACUGGGCGUAAAGCGCGUGUAGGCGGCCCACUAAGUCUGAUGUGAAAGCCCGGGGCUCACCCCCGGAAGUGCAUUGGAAACUGGUGGACUCGAGUCCCGGAGAGGAGAGUGGAAUUCCUGGUGUAGCGGUGAAAUGCGUAGAUAUCAGGAGGAACACCGGUGGCGAAGGCGGAUCUCUGGGCCUUGCCUGACGCUGAGGCGCGAAAGCUAGGGGAGCGAACAGG
rnacentral:rRNA from 1 species